AUGGACCACACGACAGAAUGCACCAGGGACAGUAUGGACCACAGGACAGAAUGCACCAGGGCCAGUAUACACCAGGGACAGUAUGCACCAGGGACAGUAUGGACCACAAGACAGAAUGCACCAGGGACAGUAUGGACCACGGACAGAAUGCACCAGGGACAGUAUGCACCAGGGACAGUAUGGACCACAGGACAGAAGGCACCAGGGACAGUAAUGGACCACAGGACAGAAGGCACCAGGGACAGUAUGGACCACAGGACAGAAUGCACCAGGACAGUAUGCACCAGGACAGUAUGGACCACAGGACAGAAUGCAACCAGGGGACAGUAUGCACCAGGGCCGGUAUGCACCAGGGUCAGUAUGGACCACAGGACAGAAUGCACCAGGGAAAGUAUGCACCAGGGACAGUAUAGACCACAGGACAGAAUGCACCAGGGACAGUAUGGACCACAGGACAGAAUGCACCAGGGAAAGUAUGCACCAGGGACAGUAUGGACCACAAGACAGAAUGCACCAGGGACAGUAUGCACCACGGACAGUAUGGACCAGGGCCAGUAUGCACCAGGGCCAGUAUGGACCACAGGACAGAAUGCACCAGGGACAGUAUGCACCAGGGACAGAAUGCACCAGGGACAGUAUGCACCAGGGACAGUAUGGACCACAGGACAGAAUGCACCAGGGAAAGUAUGCACCAGGGACAGUAUGGACCACAGGACAGAAUGCACCAGGGACAGUAUGGACCACAGGACAGAAUGCAACCAGGGACAGAAUGCACCAGGGAAAGUAUGCACCAGGGACAGUAUGGACCACAGGACAAGAAUGCACCAGGGACAGUAUGGACCACAGGACAGAAUGCACCAGGGCCAGUAUACACCAGGGACAGUAUGCACCAGGGACAGUAUGGACCACAAGACAGAAUGCACCAGGGACAGUAUGCACCACGGACAGUAUGGACCAGGGCCAGUAUGCACCAGGGCCAGUAUGGACCACAGGACAGAAUGCACCAGGGACAGUAUGCACCAGGGACAGAAUGCACCAGGGACAGAAUGCAACCAGGGGACAGUAUGGACCACAGGACAGAAUGCACCAGGGACAGUAUGCACCAGGGUCAGUAUGGACCACAGGACAGAAUGCACCAGGGAAAGUAUGCACCAGGGACAGUAUACACCAGGGACAGUAUAGACCACAGGACAGAAUGCACCAGGGACAGUAUGGACCACAGGACAGAAUGCACCAGGGAAAGUAUGCACCAGGGACAGUAUAGACCACAGGACAGAAUGCACCAGGGACAGUAUGGACCACAGGACAGAAUGCACCAGGGACAGUAUGGACCAGGGACAAUAUAGACCACAGGACAGAAUGCACCAGGGACAGAAUGCACCAGGGAAAGUAUGCACCAGGGACAGUAUGGACCACAGGACAGAAUGCACCAGGGACAGUGGAUCACAGGACAGAAUGCAUCAGGGACAGUGUGCACCAGGGGAAAGGAUGCAGUAAGGGGGCAGCAGGCACCAGAGGGCAGUGUGCAUCAGGGAACAGUACGUAGGAGGGACAGUUUGCACCAAGGGAGAGUGUGCAGUAGGAGACAGUACCCGAGAGGGGACUGGAGGCACCAGGGGACAGGGCGCAGUAGGGCACGGUCACGCCAGGGGGCAGUGUGCACAGGACGCGUGCCCUUCCUUGUAGCUUCAUCAGCGUGAUUCCUUGCGACCAAAGUUUAUCACCCUUUUUGGUUUGAAAAUCUCACUGAAACUUUCAAACGUGUUUAUGGCUCUGACAGGAAUUGCCAAGAUACCCCGUGGGAAGACCUUCUGGUCUUACGCCCCCCCCUUCCCCCAGCACAAACAGCUUCCCUCCCGUCCUCGUCGGCAGGCCCGUCAGGCCUUUCCCGCUUGAUGGCCUCCUGCAGGUCAAUGUGGGUCUCUUGGCCUAUUUAAUCUGCGUAUUGUUCUUUAACUGUGCCUCGGUUUAAAUUCGUCCCCGUCAGGGCAUAAACCCCCGACAGCGGGAAUGCAGGGUUCACCACAAAGCUUGGUACAGAAUGGGGACCCCAGCCGUACCCAUAAAAAUGAGCAGUUUGCAGACAGGCAUGGGGCAAAUUCAUCCCCAGACAGGGCAUAGUUGUGAUUUGAAACCCUCAAGUCCUCAGUUCAAUUAGCAAUCCGUUUAAUGUUUAUUUAUUUUUGAGACAGAGAGAGACAGAGCAUGAACAGGGGAGGGGCAGAGAGAGAGGGAGACACAGAAUCGGAAACAGGCUCCAGGCUCUGAGCCGUCAGCACAGAGCCCGACGCGGGGCUCGAACUCACGGACCGUGAGAUCAUGACCUGAGCCGAAGUCAGAUGCUUAACCGACCGAGCCACCCAGGCGCCCCAAGCAAUCCGUUUCAAAGUCCCUGGUAAAAGCUGGGUGAGCGUGUGAGGAAACUGGCGCUCAGGCACCACGGGUGGGACGAUAACUGGCUUCGGUGUUUCUGAAAAGCUGUUUGCCGGACCCUCAAAAGCACUCGUGCCCUUUUAUUGGGUAAUUCCACACCUAAGGAAUAUCCUAAGGAAAUAACAAGUAAUCAGAGAUGCACAGAAAGAUUUACCUGUGUACAGAUUUGCUCACCACAGCAGAGCCGAUAAAUACACUGGCAACGGCUCAGUGUUCAUCCGUGGGCAGCUGACUUUACUAGACUGGGGAGUAUUCAUGCAAGGGAAUUCACUACACUCCUUAAAGUUCAAGUUUCGGGAGCUCCUGGCAAUGACAUGGUGAAGCCCUGUGGAAUGUUCCAUGAAAAAAAGUGAGUUAGAGAAAUCUGCAGCGUGGUCUCCGUUUGGGGAAAACAACACCUAUGUCUAUGUGCAUGGACAAGAGAGUGGGAAGAAAUAAUAAAAUAGUGUUUACAGUUAUUCUUUUUCUUUAA
ensembl:lncRNA